CCUACGGGAGGCAGCAGUGAGGAAUAUUGGUCAAUGGCCGAGAGGCUGAACCAGCCAAGUCGCGUGAGGGAAGACGGCCCUACGGGUUGUAAACCUCUUUUGUCGUGGAGCAAAGCGAGUCACGUGUGACUCAUUGAGAGUACCCGAAGAAAAAGCAUCGGCUAACUCCGUGCCAGCAGCCGCGGUAAUACGGAGGAUGCGAGCGUUAUCCGGUUUUAUUGGGUUUAAAGGGUGCGCAGGCGGAGGUGCAAGUCAGCGGUCAAAUUGCGGGGCUCAACCCCGUACUGCCGUUGAAACUGCAGCCCUUGAGUGCGCGAGAAGUAUGCGGAAUGCGUGGUGUAGCGGUGAAAUGCAUAGAUAUCACGCAGAACUCCGAUUGCGAAGGCAGCAUACCGGCGCGCAACUGACGCUCAUGCACGAAAGCGUGGGUAUCGAACAGGAUUAGAUACCCUUGUAGUC
rnacentral:rRNA from 1 species